rnacentral:rRNA from 1 species
GCAAGUCGAACGGACCCUUUGGGGUUAGUGGCGAACGGGUGAGUACACGUGGGUGAUCUGCCCUGCACUUUGGGAUAAGCCUGGGAAACUGGGUCUAAUACCGGAUAGGACUACGCACUGCAUGGUGUGUGGUGGAAAGCUUUUGCGGUGUGGGAUGGGCCCGCGGCCUAUCAGCUUGUUGGUGGGGUGAUGGCCUACCAAGGCGACGACGGGUAGCCGGCCUGAGAGGGUGACCGGCCACACUGGGACUGAGAUACGGCCCAGACUCCUACGGGAGGCAGCAGUGGGGAAUAUUGCACAAUGGGCGCAAGCCUGAUGCAGCGACGCCGCGUGAGGGAUGACGGCCUUCGGGUUGUAAACCUCUUUCGCCAGGGACGAAGCGCAAGUGACGGUACCUGGAGAAGAAGGACCGGCCAACUACGUGCCAGCAGCCGCGGUAAUACGUAGGGUCCGAGCGUUGUCCGGAAUUACUGGGCGUAAAGAGCUCGUAGGUGGUUUGUCGCGUUGUUCGUGAAAACUCACAGCUUAACUGUGGGCGUGCGGGCGAUACGGGCAGACUGGAGUACUGCAGGGGAGACUGGAAUUCCUGGUGUAGCGGUGGAAUGCGCAGAUAUCAGGAGGAACACCGGUGGCGAAGGCGGGUCUCUGGGCAGUAACUGACGCUGAGGAGCGAAAGCGUGGGGAGCGAACAGGAUUAGAUACCCUGGUAGUCCACGCCGUAAACGGUGGGUACUAGGUGUGGGUUUCCUUCCUUGGGAUCCGUGCCGUAGCUAACGCAUUAAGUACCCCGCCUGGGGAGUACGGCCGCAAGGCUAAAACUCAAAGGAAUUGACGGGGGCCCGCACAAGCGGCGGAGCAUGUGGAUUAAUUCGAUGCAACGCGAAGAACCUUACCUGGGUUUGACAUGCACAGGACGCCGGCAGAGAUGUCGGUUCCCUUGUGGCCUGUGUGCAGGUGGUGCAUGGCUGUCGUCAGCUCGUGUCGUGAGAUGUUGGGUUAAGUCCCGCAACGAGCGCAACCCUUGUCUCAUGUUGCCAGCACGUUAUGGUGGGGACUCGUGAGAGACUGCCGGGGUCAACUCGGAGGAAGGUGGGGAUGACGUCAAGUCAUCAUGCCCCUUAUGUCCAGGGCUUCACACAUGCUACAAUGGCCGGUACAAAGGGCUGCGAUGCCGUGAGGUGGAGCGAAUCCUUUCAAAGCCGGUCUCAGUUCGGAUCGGGGUCUGCAACUCGACCCCGUGAAGUCGGAGUCGCUAGUAAUCGCAGAUCAGCAACGCUGCGGUGAAUACGUUCCCGGGCCUUGUACACACCGCCCGUCACGUCAUGAAAGUCGGUAACACCCGAAGCCGGUGGCCUAACCCUUGUGGAGGGAGC